UGGGGAAUAUUGCACAAUGGGCGCAAGCCUGAUGCAGCAACGCCGCGUGAACGAUGAAGGUCUUCGGAUCGUAAAGUUCUGUUGCAGGGGAAGAUAAUGACGGUACCCUGUGAGGAAGCCCCGGCUAACUACGUGCCAGCAGCCGCGGUAAUACGUAGGGGGCUAGCGUUAUCCGGAUUUACUGGGCGUAAAGGGUGCGUAGGUGGUCUUUCAAGUCGGUGGUUAAAGGCUACGGCUCAACCGUAGUAAGCCGCCGAAACUGGAGGACUUGAGUGCAGGAGAGGAAAGUGGAAUUCCCAGUGUAGCGGUGAAAUGCGUAGAUAUUGGGAGGAACACCAGUAGCGAAGGCGGCUUUCUGGCCUGCAACUGACACUGAGGCACGAAAGCGUGGGUAGCAAACAGG
rnacentral:rRNA from 1 species